AGUGAACGCUGGCGGUAGGCCUAACACAUGCAAGUCGAACGGCAGCACAGUAAGAGUUUGCUCUUACGGGUGGCGAGUGGCGGACGGGUGAGGAAUACAUCGGAAUCUACUUUUUCGUGGGGGAUAACGUAGGGAAACUUACGCUAAUACCGCAUACGACCUACGGGUGAAAGCAGUGGAUCUUCGGACCUUUCGCGAUUGAAUGAGCCGAUGUCGGAUUAGCUAGUUGGCGGGGUAAAGGCCCACCAAGGCGACGAUCCGUAGCUGGACUGAGAGGAUGAUCGGCCACACUGGAACUGAGACACGGUCCAGACUCCUACGGGAGGCAGCAGUAGGGAAUAUUGGGCAAUGGGCGCAAGCCUGAUCCAGCAAUACCGCGUGGGUGAAGAAGGCCUUCGGGUUGUAAAGCCCUUUUGUUGGGAAAGAAAAGCAGCAGGUUAAUACCCCGCUGUUCUGACGGUACCCAAAGAAUAAGCACCGGCUAACUUCGUG
rnacentral:rRNA from 1 species